AUGUCGAUGUAGGUGAACUGCGUAAAGAUCAUUUUUGAAGAAAACUUGGUUAGGU
rnacentral:rRNA from 1 species